AAGGACAGAGAAGGAAUGGGACAGACGAGGUUAAGGACAGAGAAGGAAUGGGGCAGACGAGGUUAAGGACAGAGAAGGAAUGGGACAGACGAGGUUAAGGACAGAGAAGGAAUGGGACAGGUGGUGUUUAUGUCUGUGUAAUCUACUGGCCUGUUCAUAUGAGGUGGUGUUUCUGUCUGUGUAACCUACUGGCCUGUUUAUAUGAGGUGGUGUUUCUAUCUUUCAAACCUACUGGCCUGUUCAUAUGAGGUGGUGUUUCUAUCUUUCAAACCUACUGGCCUGUUCAUAUGAGGUGGUGUUUCUGUCUGUGUAACCUACUGGCCUGUUUGUAUGAGGUGGUGUUUCUAUCUGUGUAACCUACUGGCCUGUUCAUAUGAGGUGGUGUUUCUGUCUGUGUAAUCUACUGGCCUGUUCAUAUGAGGUGGUGUUUCUGUCUGUGUAACCUACUGGCCUGUUUAUAUGAGGUGGUGUUUCUAUCUUUCAAACCUACUGGCCUGUUCAUAUGAGGUGGUGUUUCUGUCUGUGUAACCUACUGGCCUGUUCAUAUGAGGUGGUGUUUCUGUCUGUGUAACCUACUGGCCUGUUCAUAUGAGGUGGUGUUUCUGUCUGUGUAAUCUACUGGCCUGUUCAUAUGAGGUGGUGUUUCUGUCUGUGUAACCUACUGGCCUGUUCAUAUGAGGUGGUGUUUCUAUCUUUCAAACCUACUGGCCUGUUCAUAUGAGGUGGUGUUUCUAUCUUUCAAACCUACUGGCCUGUUCAUAUGAGGUGGUGUUUCUAUCUUUCAAACCUACUGGCCUGUUCAUAUGAGGUGGUGUUUCUAUCUUUCAAACCUACUGGCCUGUUCAUAUGAGGUGGUGUUUCUAUCUUUCAAACCUACUGGCCUGUUCAUAUGAGGUGGUGUUUCUAUCUUUCAAACCUACUGGCCUGUUCAUAUGAGGUGGUGUUUCUGUCUGUGUAACCUACUGGCCUGUUCAUAUGAGGUGGUGUUU